UACGUAGGGUGCGAGCGUUAAUCGGAAUUACUGGGCGUAAAGCGUGCGCAGGCGGUGAUGUAAGACAGGUGUGAAAUCCCCGGGCUUAACCUGGGACUGCAUUUGUGACUGCAUAGCUAGAGUACGGUAGAGGGGGAUGGAAUUCCGCGUGUAGCAGUGAAAUGCGUAGAUAUGCGGAGGAACACCGAUGGCGAAGGCAAUCCCCUGGACCUGUACUGACGCUCAUGCGACGAAAGCGUGGGGAGCAAACAGG
rnacentral:rRNA from 1 species